rnacentral:rRNA from 1 species
CUACGGGCUGCUGCAGUGAGGAAUAUUGCCCAAUGGGGGGAACCCUGAUGCAGCAACGCCGCGUGGAGGAUGACGCAUUUCGGUGUGUAAACUCCUUUUAUAUGUCAAGAAAAUGACGGUAGCAUAUGAAUAAGCACCGGCUAACUCCGUGCCAGCAGCCGCGGUAAUACGGAGGGUGCAAGCGUUACUCGGAAUCACUGGGCGUAAAGGACGCGUAGGCGGGUUGGAAAGUCAGGUGUGAAAUCCUACAGCUUAACUGUAGAACUGCACUUGAAACUUCUAAUCUAGAGUAUGGGAGGGGGAGAUGGAAUUAGAGGUGUAGGGGUAAAAUCCGUAGAUAUCACUAGGAAUACCUAAAGCGAAGGCGAUCUCCUGGAACAUUACUGACGCUAAGGCGUGAAAGCGUGGGGAGCAAACAGGAUUAGAUACCCUAGUAGUC